rnacentral:rRNA from 1 species
AUUGAACGCUGGCGGCAUGCCUUACACAUGCAAGUCGAACGGUAGAGGGGGCAACCUCUCGAGAGUGGCGAACGGGUGAGUAAAGCAUCGGAACGUGCCCAGUAGUGGGGGAUAGCCCGGCGAAAGCCGGAUUAAUACCGCAUACGACCUACGGGUGAAAGGGGGGGAUCGCAAGACCUCUCGCUAUUGGAGCGGCCGAUGUCAGAUUAGGUAGUUGGUGGGGUAAAGGCUCACCAAGCCAACGAUCUGUAGCUGGUCUGAGAGGACGACCAGCCACACUGGAACUGAGACACGGUCCAGACUCCUACGGGAGGCAGCAGUGGGGAAUUUUGGACAAUGGACGCAAGUCUGAUCCAGCCAUUCCGCGUGCAGGAUGAAGGCGCUCAGCGUUGUAAACUUCUUUUGGAUGGGAACAAUAACUUCUACGUGUAGGAGCUUGAGGGUACCAUCAGAAUAAGCACCGGCUAACUCCGUG